rnacentral:misc_RNA from 1 species
UGUUUUGUCACUCUUAGCUUCAUCUUUCGUUCCAGCAUCCUUGUGCAUGGAAUCAAGCACGUCUUUUACCUGGAAACACAUGCUUUCAAGUACUGCCCUAGCAAUGUGAGACUUGUUGGUGAAUCUAGUUAUACCAAUACAAACCCCGCGAGCAUCAUCACGCCACCACGGAGCAAACAAUCCAUUAAAUGCUGGAACGAAAUACACUCCUCCUGUUG